AUCCAGCUGAUGAGUCCAUAACAGGGCGAAACGUGUGUCAAACUGGAU
rnacentral:hammerhead_ribozyme from 1 species